rnacentral:rRNA from 1 species
CCUACGGGCGGCAGCAGUGGGGAAUAUUGGACAAUGGGCGAAAGCCUGAUCCAGCCAUGCCGCGUGUGUGAAGAAGGCCUUCGGGUUGUAAAGCACUUUCAGUGGGGAAGAAAGCCUUGGGGCUAAUACCCUCGAGGAAGGACAUCACCCACAGAAGAAGCACCGGCUAACUCCGUGCCAGCAGCCGCGGUAAUACGGAGGGUGCGGGCGUUAAUCGGAAUUACUGGGCGUAAAGCGCGCGUAGGCGGUCUGAUAAGCCGGUUGUGAAAGCCCCGGGCUCAACCUGGGAACGGCAUCCGGAACUGUCAGGCUAGAGUGCAGGAGAGGAAGGUAGAAUUCCCGGUGUAGCGGUGAAAUGCGUAGAGAUCGGGAGGAAUACCAGUGGCGAAGGCGGCCUUCUGGACUGACACUGACGCUGAGGUGCGAAAGCGUGGGUAGCAAACAGGAUUAGAUACCCCGGUAGUC